CUGGGUUUGACAUGGAUCGGGAGUGCUCAGAGAUGGGUGUGCCUCUUUUGGGGUCGGUUCACAGGUGGUGCAUGGCUGUCGUCAGCUCGUGUCGUGAGAUGUUGGGUUAAGUCCCGCAACGAGCGCAACCCUUGUUCACUGUUGCCAGCACGUUAUGGUGGGGACUCAGUGGAGACCGCCGGGGUCAACUCGGAGGAAGGUGGGGAUGACGUCAAGUCAUCAUGCCCCUUAUGUCCAGGGCUUCACGCAUGCUACAAUGGCUGGUACAGAGAGUGGCGAGCCUGUGAGGGUGAGCGAAUCUCGGAAAGCCGGUCUCAGUUCGGAUUGGGGUCUGCAACUCGACCUCAUGAAGUCGGAGUCGCUAGUAAUCGCAGAUCAGCAACGCUGCGGUGAAUACGUUCCCGGGGCUUGUACACACCGCCCGUCAAGUCAUGAAAGUUGGUAACACCCGAAGCCGGUGGCCUAACCGUUGUGGGGGAGCCGUCGAAGGUGGGACUGGUGAUUAGGACU
rnacentral:rRNA from 1 species